CAGAGUUUGCAAAACUCCCUAAACCAUUGUGAACGUUACCUAAACCGUUGCUUCGGCGGGCGGCCCCGGGGUUUCUCCCCGGGCGCCCCUGGGCCCAAUCGCGGGCGCCCGCCGGAGGUCACCAAACUCUUGAUAAUUUAUGCCUCUCUGAGUCUUCUGUACUGAAUAAGUCA
rnacentral:misc_RNA from 1 species